UGGGGGAUAUUGCACAAUGGGGGAAACCCUGAUGCAGCGACGCCGCGUGGAGGAAGAAGGUUUUCGGAUUGUAAACUCCUGUCGUUAGGGACGAUAAUGACGGUACCUAACAAGAAAGCACCGGCUAACUACGUGCCAGCAGCCGCGGUAAAACGUAGGGUGCAAGCGUUGUCCGGAAUUACUGGGUGUAAAGGGAGCGCAGGCGGACCGGCAAGUUGGAAGUGAAAACUAUGGGCUCAACCCAUAAAUUGCUUUCAAAACUGCUGGCCUUGAGUAGUGCAGAGGUAGGUGGAAUUCCCGGUGUAGCGGUGGAAUGCGUAGAUAUCGGGAGGAACACCAGUGGCGAAGGCGACCUACUGGGCACCAACUGACGCUGAGGCUCGAAAGCAUGGGUAGCAAACAGGAUUAGAUACCCUGGUA
rnacentral:rRNA from 1 species